GUGCACCAGGCGAGAAACCUUCGCAAUGCGGGAAACCGCGACGAGGGGACUCCCAGUGCCUACGCUCAGCGUAGGCUGUUCCCGAGCCUAGAAAGCUCGGGGAGUAAGGGCUGGGUAAGACGGGUGCCAGCCGCCGCGGUAAUACCCGCAGCCCGAGUGGUGGCCACUAUUAUUGGGCCUAAAGCGUCUGUAGCCGGCCCGGUAAAUGCCUGGGUAAAUCGUGAGGCCUAACCUCACGAAUUCCGGGUAGACUGCCGGGCUAGGGGACCGGAGGAGGGGAGAGGGGUACUCCAGGGGUAGGGGUGAAAUCCUGUAAUCCCUGGAGGACCACCGGUGGCGAAGGCGCUCUCCUAGGACGGAUCCGACGGUGAGGGACGAAAGCCAGGGGAGCGAACCGGAUUAGAUA
rnacentral:rRNA from 1 species